rnacentral:rRNA from 1 species
UACGAAGGGUGCUAGCGUUGUUCGGAAUUACUGGGCGUAAAGCGCGCGUAGGCGGCUUAACAAGUCAGGGGUGAAAUCCCACGGCUCAACCGUGGAAUUGCCUUUGAAACUGUUAAGCUUGAGUGUCGGAGGGGAUAGCGGAAUUGCUAAUGUAGAGGUGAAAUUCGUAGAUAUUAGCAGGAACACCGGUGGCGAAGGCGGCUAUCUGGACGACAACUGACGCUGAGGCGCGAAAGCGUGGGGAU